CCAAUAAUGACCGCUUACAGAUUCAUAUGUUCGUCUUCUUCUUCUUUCUGUAAUCAGAGCAACCGACGGUAUAGAUUCUGGAUGCAACCGUUACGGAAUGCAUUGAUGCGAUGCCAUUGACGACUCUUAACUCCUUAGCCCCACUCCAUCCACGAUAAAUCAUUCAUUGCAUCUUAACUCUCAUCAAAGCGGUGGAACUUGAUCAAUAAAAAGACAAUCGAUCUCUGGUUCUAUCUCAGACCAUCGUUUGCGGAGGACUAUAAUGACUGGACUCUUGCUGUCAUGUCUCGAUUGCAUAGAGUUUGAGAUAUGCGGAGCUUAGACGUGGCCGUGUUACUGAACAAAGGAAGAGUAACGCAACGGGAGUCCAGCAGACUAAAAAAAGCACUCUUGGAGAGGCGGAGGCCGCGAACAAUAUUAGCUGCGAGAAUUUUGAAAUAUCAAAAAGUAAACCUUCAAGAGAAUCAGUUAGAAAGGUAGUUUGUGAAGAAGAGAAGGAAGUUAUGUUGCUUGGUAAUGAUAGUUGUGGCUCUUACAAGGCGGUUGCACAUGAAAAAGACGGAGAUAAUGCUCUUUUCCCUGAAAGUGAUGACAACAGUUCAAUAUGGUACGGGAACGAGCUACUAUGGGCACCUUCGUCGCCACAAAAAGUGAAGCUUGGUAUUGUUCUCUUCAAAGGUCAAGUACCUGGUGGGCGCACUGUCAUACAUGGACCAUUCGGUGUGUCAAAACCUUAUACUACACCAACUACUCGCUCCAUAUCUCUCUGUCUUAAGAGUUAGGACUCGAGAGUCAUCUCCUAAAAGAUUCUUAAGAGCGGAGUAGCAGAUUACUCAUAUUUUGCUCUUUUUAGAAGUUUAAAUUUGAUGUUAAGAUUCGAGCAUCAGUGUCUUAAGUUGAUGUUGUCCUAAGAUUAUCAUCUCUAAGUUUUCAUGAUGAUGUAUCAAAGACAAUCAUUGAGCUGAAGAAGCAUCUCAUCACGGCUAGCUAUGUUGAUGAUGAAACAUCCAUGUUACAUGAGAUGGCUAAGAAUGCUUCGAUUACGGUUCUUAGUGAAACAACAUCUCACAACUUGGCCUUUAGUAUGAAUCUCAGCCCUCUUAAUAGUGUGCGUCAGAGGAAAAAUGUGCUUAACCCUAAGCCGCUUAUCCGGAAACUCUGUAAAGAAGUUGCGCACAGUGUGAGAUUUCAGUAGCCAUAAAAUUUUUAAGAUAGAUCUUAAUAAAAAUAUUUUUUCUACAAUCGAAAGGCUAUAUCUCUUUGAUAUACUACAUAUGUACAUCUCUUUAAAGUUUGGGGCCAUUACAGAUGCUUUGGGCUGUGAUCUGAAACCAACCGCAGAAUCUUGUGGUGAAAGAUAAGAUAAAGAGCUUCUUAAGAUCUCGCUGAUCUUGGUCUUGGUCGUACUUUCACUGUAUAAGCAUGAGAUCGUUACUCUUUGGUAAAGAGCUCCUGGAGUUCUUCUUGGUUCGACCCAUUAUUCAACUGCCGUUGACAUUUGGUCUUUUGGUUGCAUCUUUGGUUAAUAGUAGUCUCAAAUGGUGUUUUGAGUGUAUCUAUCAUAGGGCUGUGAUUUUGGUUGCAUCUUUGGUUAAAUAGUACUCUUUUGUUAAAUC